UACAACAUAGGGUUAAUGCACUAGAUCCCAUUAGAACUCCACAGUUAAGCACGCUCAGGCUAGAGUAUUACUACGAUGGGUGACCGCCCGGGAAGUCCUAUUGUUUUAC
rnacentral:rRNA from 1 species